rnacentral:tRNA from 1 species
GCCCGCCUAGCUCAGUUGGCAGAGCGCAAGGCUCUUAAAUCGCAAGCAACCAAACAACGGUUGGUGGUACCUUGUGGUCCGGGGUUCGAGCCCCCGGGUGGGCG